AUACUUGUGACAGUUUCUCAUACAUCACAGACAAUGAAUACCAAGAAGAAUGUUGUUCUUUGCUGCCUUCUUUUCGUGCUCGUUCUGCAUGCAGAUCACGCUCUAGCCAAGUGUGGCUAUACAACUCCUUUAAUUCCAUUCUGCAAAGCGUGGAUGUGCAAGGCGGAGUGUUGGACGGAGGCUAAGUUAACUGGAGGCAAAGUCACGCAACAGAAGUGCAUGAGAGGUGGGAUCAAGGGCUGGUGUUACUGCGAAUUCUGCAUUUAAUUUUGCAAAGGAGAAGGAUCACCAUUUCUUUGCUUGGUCUUGCCUUGGUCAAUAACUUAGUGUAAUAAUGCUAGUUAAGUCUCUAGGCAGACUAGGCUAGAUCGAGUUGUUUGUUGUUGGUAGCUAGGCAUUGCUAGCGUCUGCUAUUGUUUUAAGAUAUUUUAUUGUUAGUUGAACAAUUAUGUCAAUGUCCAUCUGUCAGAGAUUAGUUUCUUUGCUCGUUGAUAGAUAUUAUUAUUAUAUCCUCAUUUUUU